AAACUACAGGAUGCUACAUCCAUGUAAUGCAUAAAGUUAAACAUUUUAGGCACAUUGGCCUUGAAUUCAAUUGUUACCCUGCUAGACAACAUUGAAGUUGAGAUGCGAGUUAUAUGUAAGUUCAGGGCCCUGAAAACAGCAACGUUCAAGUCAUGUAGAUUGUUCACUAGUGCUCUGCUUGUCGACUUUCGACUGAGCGUUGUGCCAAGCGAGGCCUCUAUAGACGUUGACGGAGAAAGUGGCGGUGAGAUAAAUGGUGGCGACGCCUAGACUAGCGGUGAACGCCUUGAAAGCCCAAUCUCCUACUCUGCUUGACAGUCCCAUACUUCUCUCUCUCUCAUACGCCGAUGCUUCGUUCACCUUGACUGUCCUACUCC
rnacentral:misc_RNA from 1 species